rnacentral:rRNA from 1 species
GACGAACGCUGGCGGCGUGCUUAACACAUGCAAGUCGAACGGAAAGGCCUGCUUUCCCUUGUGGAUUGCGGGUGCUCGAGUGGCGAACGGGUGAGUAACACGUGAGUGAUCUGCCCCCAACUUGGGUAUAAGCCUGGGAAACUGGGUCUAAUUCCCGAUAGGACUGCAGGGUGGUGCCUGUGGUGGAAAACGAUUUUCUAGUGGUUGGGGAUGAGCUCGCGGCCUAUCAGCUUGUUGGUGGGGUAAUGGCCUACCAAGGCGGCGACGGGUAGCCGGCCUGAGAGGGUGGACGGCCACAUUGGGACUGAGAUACGGCCCAGACUCCGACGGGAGGCAGCAGUGGGGAAUAUGGCACAAUGGGCGGAAGCCUGAGGCAGCGACGCCGCGUGGGGGAUGACGGCCUUCGGGUUGUAAACUCCUUUCGACCGCGAGGAAGCCACCUGGUUGGAAGGGUGGUGACGGUAGUGGGAGAAGAAGCACCGGCUAACUACGUG